rnacentral:pre_miRNA from 1 species
UUAACUUUAAUUUGUAUGGAGUUGGAACGUUUGCCGCUAGGGGCGCUAUUCCAACUGCAUACAAUUUCCAGUUA